GUGAUUUCUUGGUGGGAAAAGUCAUUGUGUCUUUGUUAUGUUGUAAAGGAGAGGUUAGAAAAAUUAGUGUUUGUGGUCAAGUUCUUUAUUUCCUAAGUUGUUAACAGUCACUGGUGUGAAAGUAAGAGAAGGUAUUAGGUUAUAGAUUGAUGUACUACACUCAUCCCUCAGAUGAGUGUUGUUGGUUUGUACCUACAGAAUCUACUUGUUUGAUGUGAUCAGUAUAUAAACAGGAUAGAACUUUACAGCUGUUUGUUGAUUUGAUUUUAACAAUCCCGAACUCAUUUGACCCUUAGGGGCUCGGAUAAUUAUAUUUAUAUUGCGCCGAACCACCCCUAUUACAUAAUUUAA